UACGGAGGGUGCAAGCGUUAUCCGGAUUCACUGGGUUUAAAGGGUGCGUAGGCGGCUUUAUAAGUCAUUGGUGAAAGCUCGCAGCUUAACUGUGAAACUGCCAUUGAAACUGUUUAGCUUGAAUGUGGUUGAAGUGGGCGGAAUACAACAUGUAGCGGUGAAAUGCUUAGAUAUGUUUUAGAACACCGAUUGCGAAGGCAGCUCACUAAGCCAAUAUUGACGCUGAGGCGCGAAAGCGUGGGUAGCAAACAGG
rnacentral:rRNA from 1 species